rnacentral:rRNA from 1 species
GAUGAACGCUGGCGGCGUGCUUAACACAUGCAAGUCGAACGAGGAUUUAACGGAAUGCGAUUCGUCAAAUGAAAUUAAAUCCGAGUGGCGGACGGGUGAGUAACGCGUGGAUAACCUGCCUCACACAGGGGGACAACAGCCGGAAACGGCUGCUAAUACCGCAUAACACAAGUAAUUCGCAUGAAUAACUUGCCAAAGAUUUCAUCGGUGUGAGAUGGAUCCGCGUCUGAUUAGCCAGUUGGCGGGGUAACGGCCCACCAAAGCGACGAUCAGUAGCCGACCUGAGAGGGUGACCGGCACAUUGGGACUGAGACACGGCCCAAAUCCUACGGGAGCAGCAGUGGGGAAUAUUGCACAAAUGGGCGAAAGCCUGAUGCAGCGACGCCGCGUGAAGGAUGAAGUAUUCGGUAUGUAAACUUCU